UCAUAAGAUGGAGUAAUUUACAAGUCAAUCAACUACUUCAUUGCCUUCUCAAAGGCCAUGAGAAAUAUGAAGCAUCCAACUAAGGUUGGCUCUUGCGACAGUCCAACUCGAAAGCUUUCGAUCGGGAAUUUGGACACACUGCGGUCAAGCCCAAAGUAGUAAAGCCCAGUAUGACCUGAAAAGAGUACAUAGCCUGGACCACUCGUGGACCAAAAACAAAAUAAUUAACAGCCUAGCUAGUUCACUCGUUU